rnacentral:lncRNA from 1 species
CCUGCAGUGUCCUCCCAGCUUUCCUUCCCUUGCCCUGUACCCUGACAACAGCUCUUUAGAGCCAGUAAGCCCCGAGGUGAGUGACGUCAUUGAUGUGAUGAAAAGUCCCUCCAGGACUGGAGCUCUGGGGCUCAAUGAAACAAACAACAGAGCUUUCUUAGCCGCAGCGCCUAGACGCCGCCAGAACUCUUUUAAGGUGUGGAGAGCAAUACUGGGAGGGCCACCCCCCGGCCCCACCCUCAGACCCUGUGAACACAGAAGCUGGUUGGAAGCCAGCUCUGCUGCUCUCCACCAAACCACCGCCCCUCUCCACGGGGGGCCUGGGCAAAAAAAAAAAAAAAAA